GAAAAUGGCCAACUUUUGCUUGGCUAACAAAUGUUGUUGCCUUAUUGCUCCAUAUUAGUAAUAGGAAUUGUUAUAGUUAAUUUAAUUAAUGUUAUUGUUUGAGUUCUUGACAAAAUCUUUUAAUUUUUGAUGUUGAUUGUGAGUAAAUUGUCUUGUAUUUUCACUAGAUCGGAUUUGUUACUCGAGGAUUGGGACUUGGGUUAUUGCCUUUAGCCUUCAGGUUUUUUAAGGAUUUGUCACUUUGUGUUAUACGAAAAUUGUUAUUUUCGGUUUCUGGUUUUCGACGGGUGCCCUCACGGUCCGCUUGUCUUUGCUCACAUCGAAUUUAUUUGUUGUAACACUUUUUAUUGGUUUAUUGCACCUUCGGUGAAUCACU
rnacentral:lncRNA from 1 species